rnacentral:rRNA from 1 species
UACAGAGGGGGCAAGCGUUGUUCGGAAUUACUGGGCGUAAAGGGCGCGUAGGCGGUCCGAUAAGUCGCGUGUGAAAUCCCUCGGCUCAACUGAGGAAUGGCACGGGAAACUGACGGGCUUGAGUUCGGGAGAGGGAAGCGGAAUUCCGGGUGUAGCGGUGAAAUGCGUAGAUAUCCGGAGGAACACCGGUGGCGAAGGCGGCUUCCUGGACCGACACUGACGCUGAGGCGCGAAAGCUAGGGGAGCAAACGGG